UGAGAAUACGUUAGCGUUUGGGUUUAGGAAAUUGGGUUCGGGUUAUAGGUUUAGGUUUAGGUUAGGUUAUAGGUUAAGGUUUAGGAAAUUGAGUUUAGUUUAUAGGUUUAGGUUAUGAGUUAAGGUUAUAGGUUAAGGUUUAGGUUAUAGGUUAAGUUUUAGGUUUAGGUUAAGGUUAUAGGUUUAGGUUGAGGUUAUAGGUUUUGGGAUUUGAGAAUAGGUUUAGGUUAUGGUUAUAAGUUUAGGUUUAGGAAAUCGGGUCGGGUUCGGGAUCGGGUUUAGGUUUGGGUUUUCAAGUUUAGGUUUAGGUUUA